rnacentral:rRNA from 1 species
CCUACGGGAGGCAGCAGUGGGGAAUUUUGGACAAUGGGCGCAAGCCUGAUCCAGCCAUUCCGCGUGAGUGAAGAAGGCCUUCGGGUUGUAAAGCUCUUUCGCAAGGGAAGAAACGUUACGGGCGAAUAACCCGUGAUAAUGACGGUACCUUGAUAAGAAGCACCGGCUAACUACGUGCCAGCAGCCGCGGUAAUACGUAGGGUGCAAGCGUUAAUCGGAAUUACUGGGCGUAAAGCGUGCGCAGGCGGUUUUUGUAAGUCAGAUGUGAAAUCCCCGAGCUCAACUUGGGAACUGCGUUUGAAACUACAAGGCUAGAAUAUGUCAGAGGGGGGUAGAAUUCCACGUGUAGCAGUGAAAUGCGUAGAGAUGUGGAGGAAUACCAAUGGCGAAGGCAGCCCCCUGGGAUAAUAUUGACGCUCAUGCACGAAAGCGUGGGGAGCAAACAGGAUUAGAUACCCUGGUAGUCCACGCCCUAAACGAUGUCUACUAGUUGUUGGUGGAGUAAAAUCCAUGAGUAACGCAGCUAACGCGUGAAGUAGACCGCCUGGGGAGUACGGUCGCAAGNUUAAAACUUCAAAGGAAUUGAGG